AUUGAACGCUGGCGGCAUGCUUUACACAUGCAAGUCGAACGGUGACAGGCCGCAAGGUGCUGACGAGUGGCGAACGGGUGAGUAAUGCAUCGGAACGUGCCCAGUCGUGGGGGAUAACGCAGUGAAAGCUGCGCUAAUACCGCAUACGAUCUAUGGAUGAAAGCGGGGGACCGAAAGGCCUCGCGCGAUUGGAGCGGCCGAUGUCAGAUUAGGUAGUUGGUGGGGUAAAGGCUCACCAAGCCAACGAUCUGUAGCUGGUCUGAGAGGACGACCAGCCACACUGGGACUGAGACACGGCCCAGACUCCCACGGGAGGCAGAAGUGGGGAAUUUUGGACAAUGGGCGCAAGCCUGAUCCAGCAAUGCCGCGUGCAGGAAGAAGGCCUUCGGGUUGUAAACUGCUUUUGUACGGAACGAAAAGGCUCUGGUUAAUACCUGGGGCUCAUGACGGUACCGUAAGAAUAAGCACCGGCUAACUACGUGCCAGCAGCCGCCGUAACAC
rnacentral:rRNA from 1 species